UGAGGAAUAUUGCACAAUGGGCGAAAGCCUGAUGCAGCAACGCCGCGUGAGCGAUGAAGGCCUUCGGGUCGUAAAGCUCUUUUGAGAGGGACGAGAUAGGACGGUACCUCUUGAAUAAGUCACGGCUAACUACGUG
rnacentral:rRNA from 1 species